rnacentral:tRNA from 1 species
GGAAAUAUUAGUCAGCGUGGUGCUGACGCUCGCCUGCUAAGCGAGUCGGUCCUUGAUUGGGCCGCUAGUUCGACUCCAGAUAUUUCCG